rnacentral:misc_RNA from 1 species
AUUGCAGCCCGAGCUGAGUGGAGCUCAUUUUUUUGCUUGGCAAAAGCUUGGACAAAAAUAGCGGGAACGGAGCGCGGAAAUAGCU